GAGGAGUUUGUUGGUACCUAGCACACAAGAACAAAAGAAGGAAAGAGGAAUAGAAUAGAAGUAAUAUCUUCUUCUCAUGGGACUUGCCAAGAGCAGUACAACGCGACCAACAAUCAUGUACACCCUGGCUAUUUCUUUCCUGGUUCUUGCUAUAAUGUGUUCUACCUUGCCAUCGUGCCAUCCCCGCAAUGGUGUGUACCACAUCUCCCUAUUUUGUUACACAUCUUCCUUAUGUUUUCAGUUCAUUGAACCAAUCAAACAUAUGCUUCUUGUUUGAUAUGUGUGUACAUGUUGUAUUUUGUAGAGGUGAAGUGCAAACCUUUAGAUCCAUGUGAUGACGCUGGAUGCAAAACUAUAUGUGCGGAUACGGGCCUGCCUUUUGCCAGUCCUUUUUGUAAGGAGACCCAUCCUCCACUGUGUUGCUGCAUAGGAUAGAAACAUAAGUUGAUUGUUCCUUUUGCUCGAACUAUCCAAUCCUGAAUAAUUUAUUCAUGUUAUGCAUGCGGGCCAAUCUAAAUAAAGAUGUUCGUUUCCUUCCAACCAAAUUGUUGUGUGUUUGACACCCUGAGAUUGGUG
rnacentral:lncRNA from 1 species